GCCCCAGUGGUCUACUGGUAGAAUAGUAUAUCCUGCCCCGGUACAGACCCGGGUUCGAUUCGCGGCUGGUGCG